rnacentral:misc_RNA from 1 species
GUGGGCAAAUUUCAGAAGCUUUAUUGUUUUUGGGUGGGUAUACCUGCAGUUGGGAUCUCUUGGGUUACAAUCAAGGCAAGAACAGCUGUGGUGAUUGAGAGUCAGGAGGCAGUUAGAUUUGCGGAAGUGGAAGAACAGCUGAUACCUUUUCAGCUGGAAUCUCACUACACAAGGAAGGAGGCGGAGAUGCUUGAGGCUGACUUCAAGAAUCUGCAAAUUGG